CUCGAGGUCGAUUUGGUUGUGCUUGACCUGCUUUUAGAGUGUGGAUACAACUACGAAAGGCUGCAGUACAUUAGUGCUUCAGAUCUUGAUUUAAUAUUUUCCAAGAGAGAACAUCUUGGUCUGAAAUCCGAGUUCCGCGAGAAACUCCAAAAAUGGAAGCGAGCACAACACAUUGAUGUCUGCGCAGGGGAUACGACACCAACAUAUAAAGGAAAGGUGACAUUAUUAGUUCUAACUAAUGGUUUCUAGCUUAAAUAUUAUUAACUUUAA